ACCCAGACCGCCAGCUAAGGUCCCAAAGUCAUGGUUAAGUGGGAAACGAUGUGGGAAGGCCCAGACAGCCAGGAUGUUGGCUUAGAAGCAGCCAUCAUUUAAAGAAAGCGUAAUAGCUCACUGGUCGAGUCGGCCUGCGCGGAAGAUGUAACGGGGCUAAACCAUGCACCGAAGCUGCGGCAGCGACACUAUGUGUUGUUGGGUAGGGGAGCGUUCUGUAAGCCUGUGAAGGUGUACUGUGAGGUAUGCUGGAGGUAUCAGAAGUGCGAAUGCUGACAUAAGUAACGAUAAAGCGGGUGAAAAGCCCGCUCGCCGGAAGACCAAGGGUUCCUGUCCAACGUUAAUCGGGGCAGGGUGAGUCGACCCCUAAGGCGAGGCCGAAAGGCGUAGUCGAUGGGAAACAGGUUAAUAUUCCUGUACUUGGUGUUACUGCGAAGGGGGGACGGAGAAGGCUAUGUUGGCCGGGCGACGGUUGUCCCGGUUUAAGCGUGUAGGCUGGUUUUCCAGGCAAAUCCGGAAAAUCAAGGCUGAGGCGUGAUGACGAGGCACUACGGUGCUGAAGCAACAAAUGCCCUGCUUCCAGGAAAAGCCUCUAAGCAUCAGGUAACAUCAAAUCGUACCCCAAACCGACACAGGUGGUCAGGUAGAGAAUACCAAGGCGCUUGAGAGAACUCGGGUGAAGGAACUAGGCAAAAUGGUGCCGUAACUUCGGGAGAAGGCACGCUGAUAUGUAGGUGAAGCGACUUGCUCGUGGAGCUGAAAUCAGUCGAAGAUACCAGCUGGCUGCAACUGUUUAUUAAAAACACAGCACUGUGCAAACACGAAAGUGGACGUAUACGGUGUGACGCCUGCCCGGUGCCGGAAGGUUAAUUGAUGGGGUUAGCGGUAACGCGAAGCUCUUGAUCGAAGCCCCGGU
rnacentral:rRNA from 1 species